GAUGAACGCUAGCGGCAGGCCUAAUACAUGCAAGUCGAACGAGAUUAAGGAGCUUGCUCCUUAUGAAAGUGGCGCACGGGUGCGUAACGCGUAUGCAACCUACCUUAAUCAGGGGGAUAGCCCGAAGAAAUUCGGAUUAACACCGCAUAAAAACACAGGAUAGCAUUAUCCAAUGUUCAAAUAUUUAUAGGAUUAAGAUGGGCAUGCGUGUCAUUAGCUAGUUGGCGGGGUAACGGCCCACCAAGGCGACGAUGACUAGGGGAUCUGAGAGGAUGACCCCCCAAACUGGUACUGAGACACGGACCAGACUCCUACGGGAGGCAGCAGUAAGGAAUAUUGGUCAAUGGAGGCAACUCUGAACCAGCCAUGCCGCGUGCAGGAAGACUGCCCUAUGGGUUGUAAACUGCUUUUAUCCGGGAAUAAACCUAAUUACGUGUAAUUAGCUGAAUGUACCGGAAGAAUAAGGAUCGGCUAACUCCGUGCCAGCAGCCGCCGCGGUAA
rnacentral:rRNA from 1 species